AUCGAACGCUGGCGGCAUGCCUAACACAUGCAAGUCGAGCGAGCGGCGGACGGGUGAGUAAUGUAUGGGGACUGCCCGAUAGAGGGGGAUAACUACUGGAAACGGUGGCUAAUACAGCUUACUGUCGGAUAACCCAUAUGGGAUUAGCUAGUAGGUAAGGUAAUGGCUUACACAGGCGACGAUCCCUAGCUGGUCUGAGAGGAUGAUCAGCCACACUGGGACUGGGACACGGCCCAGACUCCUACGGAGGAAGCAGUGGGGAAUAUUGCACAAUGGGCGCAAGCCUGAUGCAGCCAUGCCGCGUGUAUGAAGAAGGCCCUAGGGUUGUAAAGUACUUUCAGUCGGGAGGCGUUACCGACAGAAGAAGCACCGGCUAACUCCGUGCCAGCAGCCGCGGUAAUAC
rnacentral:rRNA from 1 species